rnacentral:rRNA from 1 species
UUCCGUAGGUGAACCUGCGGAAGGAUCAUUACACUCAGUAGUUUACUACUGUUAAGGGGGCUGUUAGUCUGUAUAGCUUAAUCGCUGAUGAGCAGCAGGCCUUCUUUCCACACCCUUGUCUUUUGCGUACCCAUGUUUCCUCGGCAGGCUUGCCUGCCGAUUGGACAAUCUAUAACCUUUUUAAUUUUUAAUCAGCGUCUGAAAAACUUAAUAAUUACAACUUUCAACAACGGAUCUCUUGGUUCUGGCAUCGAUGAAGAACGCAGCGAAAUGCGAUAAGUAGUGUGAAUUGCAGAAUUCAGUGAAUCAUCGAAUCUUUGAACGCACAUUGCGCCCCUUGGUAUUCCAUGGGGCAUGCCUGUUCGAGCGUCAUUUGUACCUUCAAGCUUUGCUUGGUGUUGGGUGUUUGUCCACUCCUUGGUGUUUGGACUCGCCUCAAAACAAUUGGCAGCCAGUGUUUUGGUAUUGAAGCGCAGCACAAUUUGCGAUUCUGGCCUUAAAUACUAGCGUCCAUAAGUAAUUCUCACUUUUGACCUCGGAUCAGGUAGGGAUACCCGCUGAAC